UACGGAGGGGGCUAGCGUUGUUCGGAAUUACUGGGCGUAAAGCGCAUGUAGGCGGCUUAGCAAGUCGGAUGUGAAAUCCCUCGGCUCAACCAAGGAAGUGCAUCCGAAACUGCUGAGCUUGAGUACUUAAGAGGAGCGCGGAAUUCCCGGUGUAGAGGUGAAAUUCGUAGAUAUCGGGAGGAACACCAGUGGCGAAGGCGGCGAUCUGGGAAGAUACUGACGCUGAGGUGCGAAAGCGUGGGGAGCAAACAGG
rnacentral:rRNA from 1 species